UAAUACGUAGGGGGCUAGCGUUGUCCGGAAUCAUUGGGCGUAAAGCGCGUGUAGGCGGCUCGGUAAGUCUGCUGUGAAAGUCCAGGGCUCAACCCUGGAAUGCCGGUGGAUACUGUCGAGCUCGAGUCCGGAAGAGGCGAGUGGAAUUCCUGGUGUAGCGGUGAAAUGCGCAGAUAUCAGGAGGAACACCAAUGGCGAAGGCAGCUCGCUGGGACGUGACUGGCGCUGAGACGCGAAAGCUAGGGGAGCGAACA
rnacentral:rRNA from 1 species